GACGUCGUGUCCGAGUGGUUAAGGAGAGUGACUAGAAAUCACUUGGGUUCGCCCGCGCAUGUUCGAAUCAUGCCGACGUCG
rnacentral:tRNA from 1 species